rnacentral:rRNA from 1 species
UAGGGAAUCUUCCACAAUGGGCGCAAGCCUGAUGGAGCAACACCGCGUGAGUGAAGAAGGGUUUCGGCUCGUAAAGCUCUGUUGUUAAAGAAGAACACGUAUGAGAGUAACUGUUCAUACGUUGACGGUAUUUAACCAGAAAGUCACGGCUAACUACGUCGCA